GGUUUUGGCACCUGGUAGAAGUGUUUACUGAAAGCUGCUUUCACCACCUCUAUCUUGCUGGUAGCUCUGUCCUUACCCUGUAGUAGCAGCAGGUUGGGGACAAGCCCAGGGUGUGCUGAUGCUCUGUGCAGACCCAAGGAAUGGAGCUGAUGGUGCUGGCACCAGAUGUGCCACUCCUGGCUGAGCCACAGACUAUCCUGUGGGAUGGUGCUUCAGGUGACUGCAGCUUUUAAGGGAGGAGGAGCCUGCUGGACCCCUCGUUUAUUGAAAUUUGCCCUGCCAAUCCAUAUCUGGAAACAGAAAACUGUAGAAGCCAAAGGGAAACAAUCAAGACGCUGAAAACGUUAAACCACGGGAGCAGACCAGCUGAAGGUGAUAGCAAAUUCUCC
ensembl:lncRNA